rnacentral:rRNA from 1 species
UGGGGAAUAUUGCACAAUGGGCGCAAGCCUGAUGCAGCCAUGCCGCGUGUAUGAAGAAGGCCUUCGGGUUGUAAAGUACUUUCAGCGGGGAGGAAGGGAGUAAAGUUAAUACCUUUGCUCAUUGACGUACCCGCAGAAGAAGCACCGGCUAACUCCGUGCCAGCAGCCGCGGUAAUACGGAGGGUGCAAGCGUUAAUCGGAAUUACUGGGCGUAAAGCGCACGCAGGCGGUUUGUUAAGUCAGAUGUGAAAUCCUCGGGCUCAACCUGGGAACUGCAUCUGAUACUGGCAAGCUUGAGUCUCGUAGAGGGGGGUAGAAUUCCAGGUGUAGCGGUGAAAUGCGUAGAGAUCUGGAGGAAUACCGGUGGCGAAGGCGGCCCCCUGGACGAAGACUGACGCUCAGGUGCGAAAGCGUGGGGAGCAAACAGG